GGUUCGAUGCCACGUCGGCGGUAGCCAUUGGCAAUGACCGACGUCGAUGCUAUGAUUGAACCAAUAACAAGCUCUUUGUGCCUUUCGCAUUUUUAUAGGAACCUGUGAACUGCUUUUUUAUUCCGUUCAUUCACAGAGCCGUUUUUUUGCGAUUACAUAU